CUCCCUCUUCUUUUUUCUUUUUUUUUUUUGAGAGAGAGAUACGUAGUAUUCUACCCGUUUUGUUUAUUUCAUUUAGAAAUAAACUUAGCUAGAAGUUUGAAUCAACUAGAAUUCGAAAUUGGAAUCUCAGAUACCAACCAUCAAGUCCUUUGCCACUUGCGCUAGGGACGGUCUGUUUUCCUCUAAAAUAUUAAGCUAUAGCAGAGCAGUGUUCUAAUAGUUUAUGUUCAGCACCAAAUGAGAGAGAGAGAGAGAGAGAGAGAGAGAAUUUGGUUAAUUAAUAAAAGA
rnacentral:lncRNA from 1 species